UACGGAGGAUGCGAGCGUUAUCCGGAUUUAUUGGGUUUAAAGGGUGCGCGGGCGGCACGGCAAGCCGGCGGUCAAAUCGCGGGGCUCAACCCCGCCCAGCCGUCGGAACUGCCGGGCUAGAGUGGGCGAGAAGUGCGCGGAAUGCGUGGUGUAACGGUGAAAUGCAUAGAUAUCACGCAGAACUCCGAUUGCGAAGGCAGCGCACCGGCGCCCUACUGACGCUCAGGCACGAAAGCGUGGGUAUCGAACAGG
rnacentral:rRNA from 1 species